GGCGAACGGGUGAGUAACACGUGAGCAAUCUGCCCCUGACUCUGGGAUAAGCGCUGGAAACGGCGUCUAAUACCGGAUACGAGCUGCGACCGCAUGGUCAGUAGCUGGAAAGAAUUUCGGUCAGGGAUGAGCUCGCGGCCUAUCAGCUUGUUGGUGAGGUAAUGGCUCACCAAGGCGUCGACGGGUAGCCGGCCUGAGAGGGUGACCGGCCACACUGGGACUGAGACACGGCCCAGACUCCUACGGGAGGCAGCAGUGGGGAAUAUUGCACAAUGGGCGCAAGCCUGAUGCAGCAACGCCGCGUGAGGGAUGACGGCCUUCGGGUUGUAAACCUCUUUUAGCAGGGAAGAAGCGAAAGUGACGGUACCUGCAGAAAAAGCGCCGGCUAACUACGUGCCAGCAGCCGCGGUAAUACGUAGGGCGCAAGCGUUAUCCGGAAUUAUUGGGCGUAAAGAGCUCGUAGGCGGUCUGUCGCGUCUGCUGUGAAAACCCGAGGCUCAACCUCGGGCCUGCAGUGGGUACGGGCAGACUAGAGUGCGGUAGGGGAGAUUGGAAUUCCUGGUGUAGCGGUGGAAUGCGCAGAUAUCAGGAGGAACACCGAUGGCGAAGGCAGAUCUCUGGGCCGUAACUGACGCUGAGGAGCGAAAGGGUGGGGAGCAAACAGGCUUAGAUACCCUGGUAGUCCACCCCGUAAACGUUGGGAACUAGUUGUGGGGUCCAUUCCACGGAUUCCGUGACGCAGCUAACGCAUUAAGUUCCCCGCCUGGGGAGUACGGCCGCAAGGCUAAAACUCAAAGGAAUUGACGGGGACCCGCACAAGCGGCGGAGCAUGCGGAUUAAUUCGAUGCAACGCGAAGAACCUUACCAAGGCUUGACAUAUAGAGGAAACGUCUGGAAACAGUCGCCCCGCAAGGUCUCUAUACAGGUGGUGCAUGGUUGUCGUCAGCUCGUGUCGUGAGAUGUUGGGUUAAGUCCCGCAACGAGCGCAACCCUCGUUCUAUGUUGCCAGCACGUAAUGGUGGGAACUCAUGGGAUACUGCCGGGGUCAACUCGGAGGAAGGUGGGGAUGACGUCAAAUCAUCAUGCCCCUUAUGUCUUGGGCUUCACGCAUGCUACAAUGGCCGGUACAAAGGGCUGCAAUACCGUGAGGUGGAGCGAAUCCCAAAAAGCCGGUCCCAGUUCGGAUUGAGGUCUGCAACUCGACCUCAUGAAGUCGGAGUCGCUAGUAAUCGCAGAUCAGCAACGCUGCGGUGAAUACGUUCCCGGGUCUUGUACACACCGCCCGUCAAGUCAUGAAAGUCGGUAACACCUGAAGCCGGUGGCCCAACCCUUGUGGAGGGAGC
rnacentral:rRNA from 1 species